GCCAGGCGCCCUCCUCCAGCUGCCGCGGCCCCUCACCCCAGGGACCGACCUCCCAGCGAGGACCGCUGACUUGGGCCGAGUAAAGUGAGGCGGGUGUCCCCGCUACGCAGGCCGGGGUAGGGGGCGGAAACCAGCGCCACCUGUUUGUCUCUGUCUGAGACCUCCAUGCCUUGUCGAUGUCCACAGUGUAUCUAGCACUCUGAGUACACGUGUGUCCUGAAUAAAUCAGGGGCCUCAGAGAGGCAGAGGCGUGAGGCCCAAAGCUGCAGGCCCCAGGUUCCUACGCGCCAUGGACACCGCGAGGGAGGCACGUUAAGGAGACAGCCCGGAGGGCCCGAGGCUGAAGGGACUUGGCUUUGACCCGACAGGGCAAAGGACUGCCACCCUAGAAGACGCUGGACCAGCCGCUGGGGAGAGAGAGAUCCACAGCGCCCUCCCCUCCCUCCUUUCCCAGGAAAAGGAGCUUCCCUGUAACAAACAACCUCUGAGCAAGGUGCACUCUGGCCGUCCUCCCAGGGACACCCAGCCAGACAUCCCUUCUAGUUUACAGGCUGGGGGCAAGCCCAGUGAGAAAGAAUCAAUCUAGCCCUCGUUUGCACCCAGUUUUCAAACGUCCAAGCUGGGUUGGUCCCGUGGUAUUCAUGUCCUUUGGAGGCAGAGAAUGAAUGGGCUUGGAUCAAUUCAAUCAAUCCCCUCAAAAUGUUAAAAACCUAAGAAAGGUCACUUCUAGUGAAUAUUCCUUUCAGAAGCAUCGCCCUCCCCACCCGCCCCAAACUCCAGAACUAUGUGUCAAGGAAGCAUGACUGAGAGCCACUGGACUCAGGGCGAACACAGGACCCAAGCAAUGGCCAGCAGGAACGCACGGUGCUCAGGCGGCAGCGCACCUUCUUGCCGCCCCAGCACCCAUGGUCUUACCAGCACCCCAAUUCCCUACACAGUCACGAUGGUGGCGCCUGACCUGGGAGGGAUAUGACCUGCAGAGCUCAUCCCAGCAAGCCUGUCCCUCAGUUCCCGCUAGGUCGCUCCCUCUGGCCUCCCUAAAGCCGCUCCUUCCAGCAUUCUCCCGCAAGCUACUCAGAUCCUCACAAUAGAAUCCCUGUUUUGCUUCAUUUAGCCAGAGUUGCUUUCCAUGGCUUACAACAAAGGAAACUUAACUGUAUCAUAACCCAGUCACUUUGUCCAAACCUUCCCAAAUUCAGACAAGUUAGGGAAAAGUGAAAUAAGAAUUAAUUCCAGAAACUCCCAUAGUAAGAAUCACUAUAUAAAAUCUGUAGCUACAAAAUUACUUUAAGCAGAUAUUUUCAAUCCAGGCUGCCUGGUUUAAAACUCUCAGCUCCACCACCUACCAGAUGUAUGAUACUGAGAAGUUACAUAACCUGUCUGAGCCUCAGUGUCCUCAUCUGUAAAAUGGGCUCAUGAUAGAACUAACUGAUGUUGGCAGGGUGAGAUAGCUCACGCCUGUAAUCCCAGCACUUUGGGAGGCCAAGGUCAAGAAAUUGAGACCAUCCUGGCCAACAUGUAAACCCCGUCUCUACUAAAAAUACAGAAUUAGCUGGGCGUGGUGGCGCAUGCCUGUAAUUCCAGCUACUCGGUAGGCUGAGGCAGGAGAACUGCUUGAACCCAGGAGGUGGAGGUGACAGUGAACUGAGAUCAUGUCACUGCACUCCAUCCUGAUGCCAGAGAGAAACUCCGUCUCAACAACAAAACAAAACAAAAAAGGAACUAACUGAUGUCAUGGGUUAUAAAGGCUAAACCUUUUCAAUAUGUAAAGAGCACAGAAUGAAACAUAUGUAAAGUGCACACAGGAAGAGCUCUGCACUUGCUCGCUGGAAUCAAAUUAAACCAUCCAUGGGUCCUCCAUUUAUGCAUCAGUUACUCAGCACCCACUGCACACGCAGCACUGCCCCAGGCACGACGACACAAAGGCAGAGUGGGCUCUGCCCUCGAGAAGUGGCCGUGGAUCUGCAGAGACAGACUUGUAAACACAUAAAUCCGUGUCCAAUGUGAUAAGACUAUUCUGGAGGUAUCAACAGAGUGCUGUGGGACACGGAGGAGGGGUGAUUAAUUUUGCUUCGGACGGUGGGGGAGUCUUUGCCGAGGAGGUGACAUUUGAGCUGGACUUUGAAAGACGAGCUCUCCACAGAACUAAAUCUGGACCCAGUGCCAAGAGAGUCAGCCUGGAAAAUCAAUCCAGCCACCCACAGGAGGGGCAGUCGGCCCAGGCUGCCUUCCCAAUGACUCCCUGCCCUGGAGGACACACAGCUCCUCAAGAUGGGGACCCACACUGUCCCUGGAGGGUGUUUCUGACUUGACCUCAUUUUCCCACCAUCUGGCCCCCUCCACUCACCUCUCGUUUAAGAGCUCUCUGCCCCAGGCAAACUCCCUGGACUCUGCCCCUUGAAAGCAACUUGCAUUUUCUUCCACCAAGAACAAAAAUAAUCAUAAUUGCUUUCACGUUACAUCCUACCUUUACAGAAUGCUUUAUAGAUUUCAAGCAAAAAUAAAUAUAGAAUAGCAGUGAAGGUCAGAGCUUAAUCCUAACUCUGCUGCCAACUACCUGGUGACCUGGGCUGCUUAUUUAAUUUCUCAUGCCUCUAUUUCCUCAUCUGUAAAAUGGAAUUGCAAGUUGCUAUGGGGAUGCAAUGACCAACAGGCAUGCAGUGUUCAGAGCGGAUCUGGUGAAGAGUGGGUCCUCAGCGAGUGCCUUCAUGUGUGUCCCCUCCCACCCUGGGACCUGAGCGACUCUGUGAUUCAUGCAGAGGGGGUACUGUGGAAGGCCAGACCUGCAUCUGAACCCCGCUCGGCUCUGGGCUUACUAGUCACUUCCUGGUGAAGUGACUUCACUCAAGCAAUGUAAUCAAGCAGGAUGGGGCCAUGAGGGCUGUCUCACAGACAGUGGAGAUGAUUACUGAGGAUAAUGCAUGCCACAUGAUAGGUACCUACUAUGAAAGAUGCUCAGUCAACAUUAGCUACUUUUAUUAACAACAAAUACUCUCCUGGCACCUGACUUCAUGCCUCAUCUCUGUGAUGAGGCUACGAUCUCCUUUGCAGCCUGAGGUGAAUCUCACUGGCACUUGCGGCCCCACCAUCCCCUUCCCAGGACCCAGUGCACUAGUAGGCACCCAGGGAACACUGGCUGGCAAUCUGAUUCCCAGUUGCUCUGGGCCUGCAAGUGGCUUCAUCCAGCUCAGCUUAGCGGUAAGUAGUGUAGCCCAAGGCUGCUGCUUCCUGCAGACUCCCUCACAGUGUCCCUGCAUCCUAUGGGGAACCCCUCUACCUGCCCCAGCCUCCCACAGGCACAAACUCAUCUCUUUGUGGUGUCUGAGCUGCUGGUUCAGAGUUGUUCAGAGACAACUCUGGUCACCCUUUUCUCCCAGAACACACUGUGAACAAAUCUAUGAUUUCCCCUGGAUAUCUAUGUAAUUUUUUUCAAUACAAACUGAACCGAGGAUGAACAUGUUUUCGGGACUCUCUGCAGAAUUGCUGAUGUUAUUUUUGAAUUGUUGGCAGCAAGGACUCCACCAAAAUACUCAAGGUCAAGAGACCAGCAUGGUUCUAGGCAAUCUGUACCUCUUAAAACAGUGACAAAUAUGUUAUUUAAUUUUAAUGAGCUUUUUUGCAUCUCAAAUCUAAUUACAGCAUUAUCAAGUACUGCUUUGAACUGCAGGUGGCUUCUCAUUACGUGUGCGAAGCCUGCCACGAGCAUUUUUCGUGAAUACUAAUAACUGCUUAAUUUUACUAUCUGCUUAAAAAAAAACAAAAACUUUCAGCAACUUACAAGGCUGGGCUUUAUAAAGCAUCUGCAGAGGGUGAGCCACACAGCAAUGCAGCUUAAUUAAAAAAAAUAAAUACUGUAUGUGGCCACCCUGGAGGAUGACAGCUCGGGGAGCUGCAGAGGGGCGGUGGACUUGGCGGGGAGGAGAUUCGCUUCGUGCACUUCUCGGAGGCUCUGUUUUAUUGCAGGCUUAUUGCAUCACAUUCAAAUUUCCCAAUUUGCUUGCAGUUCAGGGAGAACGGUUCCGUCAACAGAUUUUCUGGGUGACGGACUUCAGUAAUAGGCCUGGAGCUGGAGGUCCCUGGGGACGAGCUCCAGAAAUCUGUUGUGUGGACAGGUCCAGGGAGAUGGCUGCAAAUUCAUCAGAGAAGCUGUCCGAGAGGAGAGUCCAGCUGCCUCCCAGCCAGGGGAUGAAAGAGCGGAGGUGGCCAGGGGGUCCAGAGCUGCAGAUGAGAUGCUCUGCAGUCCCAGAAUGGUGAAAGUUAUCAAAACCCACGGCCAUGACUCCCUGCUGGACCAGCUCAGCUUUGCUUCCUCAAAUCCUUGCCUGUGCCCCAGCUCGAAGGGUCCAAAAGUCAAGCUGGCUCAAAGCCCUGUCUCCACCUGCCUGUGGCAGGCAGAAUAAUGGCCCCCAUGUCAUAAACCUCAAAAGCCAUGAAUAUGCUACAUUACAUGGCGAGAGGGAAUUAAGACUGUAGCAGCUAAUCAGAUGGGAAUGAUCACCUGAGUGUACCCAGUGGAAUCACAUGAGUCCUUACAAAUGGAAGAAAAAGAAGAGGCAGAAGAGAGGGGCAGAGAACUAUGACGUGCAAGAGAUGGGACUUGCCAGUGCUGGCUUUGAUGAUGGAGGAAGGGGCCACCAAUCAAGGGAUGCAGGCAACCUCUGAAACCUGGAAAAGCCAAGGAAAGGAUUCUCCCCCAGAGCCCAGAAUGGAACACAGCCCUGCCAACACCUUGAUUUUAGCACACUGAGACCCGAGCCAAAAUCAAGACCCAACUUCUGCCUUUGGAGCUGCAAAAUAGUAUAUCCGUGUCAUUUUAAGCCCCCAAGUCCACGGUAGUUUGUAAAAGCAGCCACAGAAAGUGAAUAUGCUGCUAAGAGCUGACCUGGAGGCAGACAGGGGGCCCCCAGUGUCAGCAUCACCAGUCCCAGUGCUGGCCACAUUCAGGGUGGGGUGGGUAAGAGCAUCCCGUAACAACUCACCAGUUGCAUCCUUCCCCUUAGACCUGUGGCAUACACACUUCUCUCCCAAAGAGCACAUCUGAAGCAAGCCUCCAUGAUCCCUCUGCUGAAUCAUGUGGUUUCAUAGGUCCCAGCCCCAUGUCCAAGGUGCUCUGACUGUGGGUUUUGUCUUGAAGUCUGUCGUUUAGCAUAAGAAGGGCAGGCCUUGCAGCCCAGCUGGGAGGGAUGCAGCAGUGCACUUGGGCCCCCACCAAGGAGGCCAUGCUGGCCCCUGCUACUCACUAAUCAGUCCCACUCAAGCCUCUUGCUGGCCAUGCCUUCUGGGGGUGGGGGUGGAGGAGCCUCAGACCAAGCCACACCUCAAGGCAGAGAGCAUCCCUGGUGUCAGCUUGCCAGACAGAUGCUCUGCUCCCACAGUUCCGACAGACAGAGGGAGUUAAUGGGCCAACACCGAGCCCUUUGUUUUUAUAAGAGAACAAGUGGUUUAUGACAAAGAACAAAGUUUCCCUCUUUACGAGGCCAUCCUUGGUGCUCCCUCUCCAAGCCCAUUAAGCCUGGUUAUCUCUUACACAACACUGCCACACAGGUACCGCUGCCACCGACAAGUUCAUUUAAGGGAAUUUAUAGCCUAAUUGUGCAGCUGUUGCCUUCUGAGUCGGUUUUAAGAGAUUGUUACACAAGCAGUGUCAUAAUUUAGUCAUGUUUUCAUCUCACAACUAUACUGUAAUUACUGUUGUUAACAGCAAAUGGUAAACAAGAGAGUGAAGAGGACCAGCCAGAGAGAGUACUCACGAACUGUGCGUCACGCAGGGGCAAGGGAGACAUGACACUGGGACCCACAGAGCUCCCCAGAAAGCCCACCCGGCCCCAUCAGCCCCGGAGGUUGGUCAUGAGCUUCAAGCACAUAGCAUGCACCUGAGUAUUCACCUGGCGGGAGAGGGACACAUUUUCUGCCUCCCAACUUCCUACUAGAGACUGGGGUGCUGAUAGAAGAUGAGGUACCCCGCCAUCGCAAGCAGCCUCUGGCUCUACUUUUCUUAUCUGUUUCCAUGGAGAGCUGCCAGGGCCAGAAUGCAGUAGACCCCCCCAGAUGGUUCAGGACUGAGGAUUGGGGAGCCCCAAGCAGUGUGCAUGAAACUGAGGUGACGCUCAGUACGUAUCUGAGGCCCUGCUGCAGUACCUGCUUGAGCAAAAGAUACAGAAAAACACUGCAAAGGAGUUGCCUGAAGCUACAGGAACAGCCCUGACCCUCGCCUCCUCAGUGCAUGGCUUCCCUCCUUCUGCUGCCUGAGGAUUACUGAUUUACACAGGAAGACCCGAGGGAGAAAAUCCCUCUGAGUGCCUUGACUCUGCUGGGCAUGGUGCAGGAUGGAGGUCAGGUGGCACAGUCCUGGCAGCUGACCCCUACCCCAUCCAAAUGGCUUAUUUCUCCAUAGGCAACAAAAUGCACCCAUCAGAGCUCAGUGUGGCUCAGUUCAACACAUGUUCACUAGGCCCCAUGAGCAUCUUACUAGGCACAGAGCCAGGGACAGGGUACAGUGACAUCACUCCAGGUAGGGUCUCCAGGAGAAACCUGAUCCAACAGUCACAACAAUAGUAGUAAUGCCAGUUACCUGGCAGCAUCCUAAGCUUUGAGGCAUUCUUGUUAUCCCCAGUUUAUGGCGAAGGUGAAUAGCCUGUCCAGGGCCACAGGGCUGGGAUUCCACCCAGAUGUAACUGACUCAAAGCCCCUAACUCCAAACCGCAAGUGCUAUUUCCUGGACCUAGCCUUUGGCUAUAGACAAGCAGAGGCCCAUCAGCUUGACCCUGGUUCUCACUAUGAACUACUCUAGCCCCUAGCUUCCUAAGGGUCAGGUGCCUCUGGCCCCAGGGCAGAGGAGGGGUGGAGGGGUAAGAGGAGAUGGUGAGAGUAUAGCAGGGUGCACGCCCAGUGCAGACAUUAUCAUCGUCACCAUCACUGUUGUCUACCCCCAGGGGAGGUCCUGUAGGCCUCCUGGCAACCCCUGUCCCUGCUCGUCCAACCACCCACCCUGGCUCAUCCAAAGCCACCGGCCAUGAUUAACUGGAGCUGAUUAGGGAAAGGUCGGCUGCUCUACAGAAUAGGGCGGCUAACGAAGCUGGAAGACUCAUUUCCGGCUUGCCGGAGCUGCAGAGAAAAAUUGAAGGUCCGGAGACAACAAUCAAUAAACACGAAGCUCUUCUAACAGAGGAGAGUAAAGACUAGGAAGUGAAGAGAAAUCGAAACAGUGACCUGGAAAACAGGCACAUGCUGAGAAAGGUCAGGGUGGUCCUGAGAAGUGGGGGGGCUGGCACCACGGAGGAGGCUGCUCCCUAGCCCGUCCCAGGUGAGCAGAGGGAGGGCAGAAUCCGAGGGCGCAGCCAGUUCAGCUGUGCUCAGAAACAAGCACCUGCCUGCGUGGCUCCCACUCCCAGCUGCCCAGGUGGUGGAGCAGGGCUUUCAAAGGCACUCAUGGCCCUUGAGGGCCUAGUCUUUAGGGUCAGCCUCCUCCAAGCUCAUGGCCUGUCUCCUGUGUGGCCUUGAGCAAAUGUCUUAACCUCUUGGCGUCUUUUAUCAUCUCACUGGCAGACUCCCCACCUCUCGGGCUACUUACUAUGUACCAGGUGCGAGGCUGGCACAGAAUGACUCUUCCUAUUCUGCAAAGGAAAACUCAGACCUCGAGAUCUGAGAAAAGCAUUGUGUGCAAUUUGGAGGCAGCCUAGAAGAUCCACUUUGAAUAAUGAAAUCCUGAAACUUGUGGGACAAAUGGGAUAGCGCUGUUUCUUAAGGAUAAAUAAGCUGCAGCUUCCCCUGCACACAAGCCAGCAUCAGCUCAAGCAGUAGGAGCGUUACUCCCCUGGACCCCCACAACAGCCAGGGACCUGCCAUCAAGCCUGCUCCAGCCUUUGCACGGGGCACCUGUCCCUUGGACAUGCUAUCGAGAACCUUAAACCAUGGCCUGCUCAAUCAUCAGGCCACCAGCCAGGGGCAUCAUUUAGAAAGCCAUGACAUGGGGCCAGCUUUCCCCGGCUGGCAGGUGACAGCAACACGAGCUUCUCAUGAAAUGAUGAGAAGGACAAGUCCCAAACGGCAUGUGUGGCUGUUGGUGGAGAUCAGGGUUCAAGGCACACAGGCAUCCUUCCCCAGGCAGGGGCCUAAGCCUCCCUCCCCAAGGACCCAAGCCCUUGAGUGUGGAACUCGGAUCAGCAGCACUCAGAAGCCCCCGCAACCCCAGCCGUGGAAUCCAGCACGUGCUCAGUGCUGAGGGACUGCGGCUCCUCCCACGGAGGCCAACCCAUCACUUCACGGACUUCCACCCCAUUGCCGGGUGUUUAUGCCAGCAUCGUGCUCAGCCAUUUUAUGUAGGAUUAUGUGCUGUAUGUACCAGAAAGCUCAUAAAAAAAAAAGAAAAAAACUGAAUGAACAUUGUUUUUAAAAGGCCCUUAAAGGGCUAUAAAGUGCAGUGACUUUCAUACCCUUGGGUUUUUCCAUCUUAUAUUAGAGAGUCCCUCAAUCAAAGCCGACUCUGGGCAUAAGGAGGUGAUAAAGAGGUAAGAAAAGUGGAUUCCAAGGUCAGGGAGAUGGGAAAUUCGGAAGCAGGCUGGCUCCCCGCGGGGCCUGGGCUCCAUUCCUAAGCCAGCCCUCCUGAGAAAGGCUGCCCUGAGCAAGGAGGGACUUGCUAGGUGGGAUCCGUUUCUCCAGGCCUGAAGCCACAGUCUCGGGUGUGAUGGUGACAGGACCCCUGCGCAGCCACCAAGGUACACACGCGGAGUGAAGGAACAAAGACCAAGGGAGGUCUCGGCCACACUCGCCGGGUCGGACACUGGCCCCUCCGAGUCCUUCCAGGUCUCCACAUGGCUCACAGGGCCAGGGACCUGCAUGGCGAAGAGAGACAGCUCUUGACAGUUACCAGAGUCUGUUCUAGGUCUCAGACAGAGUUCAGCUCCACGGAUGCAAUCUAUACUGAGUCCCCACAAGCUGCAACACUGACGUGGAGAGAAAAUGACGGGACAGACCAGGAUGGGCGAUCAGGCAAACAUUACAAAUUGUGUUUGCAAAGACUAUUUAAUAACGGAAGGAAAUGCUCACAAUGUGGUUUCAAGUGGAAAAGUAAGUUACAGAAAUACCCCACGUCACGGAGCAACAAAACGGGCACGUUCCCAGGCUACGGAAGCAAACAGACCCCAGUGCCAACCGUGCUGACCGCUGGGAGAUGAGACCGGGGAGGGGGGGCAGUCCCCAUUUUCCUCUUAAUUCUCAUGUUCCAAGUUCCCUGCAAUAAAUAAUUGUUUUUAUUUUUAUUCUUAUUUUUUAUUUUUUGAGACGCAGUCUUGCUCUGUCACCCAGGCUGGAGUGCCAUGGUGCUAUCUCAGCUCACUGCAACCUCCGCCUCCUGAAUUCAAGUGAUUCACCUGCCUCAGCCUCCAGAGUAGCUGGGAUUACAGGUACCCGCCACCACACCCAGCUAAUGUUUGUAGUUUUAGUAGAGACAGAGUUUCACCAUGAUGGCCAAAUAAUUGUUUUUACAACUGAAAUUGAUUGUGCUAAAAUGGAAUAAAAAUUUAAAUAACA